rnacentral:lncRNA from 1 species
CAAAAUUAGUAUAUGGAAAUCUGUGGUGUUUUUUGUACACUAAUUACAAACUAUCAAAAAGAGAAAGUAAGAAAACAAUCUCAUUUACAAUUGUAUCAAAAAGGAAAAUACCUCGGGGCUGGCCCCGUGGCCGAGUGGUUAAGUUUGCGCGCUCCGCUGCAGGCGGCCCAGUGUUUCGUUGGUUCGAAUCCUAGGCGCGGACAUGGCACUGCUCAUCAGACCACGCUGAGGCAGCGUCCCACAUGCCACAACUAGAAGAACCCACAACGAAGAAUACACAACUAUGUACCGGGGGGCUUUGGGGAGAAAAAGGAAAAAAUAAAAUCUUUUUUUUUUAAAAAAAAAAGGAAAAUACCUAGGAAUAAAUUUAACCAAAGAAGUGAAAGACCUGUAUAUUGAAAAUUGUAAGACGCUGAUGAAAGAAAUCAAAGAAGACAGAAAUAAAUGAAAGAUAUUCCCUGCUCAUAGAUUGAGAGAAUUAAUAGUGUUAAAAUGUCCAUACUACUCAAAGCAAGCUACAGAUUUCUUGCAAUUCCUAUCAAAAUUCCAGCAGCAUUUUUCACAAAACUUGGACAAUAAUUCUAAAAUUUGUAUAGAACGAAGUGAUCCUGAAUAGCCAAAGCCAUCUGGAGAAAAAAGGACAAAGCUGGAAGUAUGAUAUUCCCUGAUUUCAGACUAUGCUACAAAGCCAUAGUAAUCAAAACAGUGUGGUAUUGACAUGGAAACAGACACACAGAUUAAUGAAACAAAAUUUAGAGCCCAGAAAUAAUCCUGUACAUAUAUGGACAAUUAAUUAAUGACAAAGUAGCCAAGAACAUAUAAUGAAGACAGAAUAAUCUCUUCAAUAAAUGGCACUGGGAAAACAGGAGAGCCACAUAAAAAAGAGUGAAACUAGACUAAUAUAUUACAUCAUACACAAAAAUUAAAUCAAAAUGGAUUAAAGACUUUAAUGUAAGACCUGAAAUCAUACAAUUCCUAGAAGAAAACUUAGGCAGGAGGCUCUUUAACAUUAGUUUUUCCAAAAUUUUGUGGAUCUGACUCCAAAGACAAGUGAAACAAAAGCAAAAAUAAAUAAAUGGGAAUACAUGAAACUAAAAUGCUUCUGCGAGGGAGAUCUCUUCAAGAUGGUGGUGUGAGCAGACAUUGAACUCGCCUCCUCCCACGAACACAACCAGGUUACAACAAUUUUUGGAAGAAUUACCCUGGAUUGAAAGCUGAAAACUGGAUAAAAAAAAAGGGACAGUCCUGACGAAGGCAGAAGAGGCAGUAAGUAAUUCCUGCUGGAGAGGAAAAAAGCCACCUUUGGGAGCAGCAGAUCUUCUCAGCUGGCCAGGCAGGAGCCACCCUAAGGUGUGUGGAAGACAGAUACGUCUUGGAAACUGACAGUAGAUUGUUGCAAGCUUAACUUAAUGGUGACUAACUGCAGCUGCUGUACCGGAUGGAAUUUCAUUGCUUAAGCAAAUUCACAGAUCUCCUGGUACCUGGUAUGCAGCUAUUGAUAUAGCAAAUGUCUUUUUCUCCAUAACUAUCCAAAAGGCCCACUUGUAACUGAUUUGUCUCAGCUGGCAAGGCUAGCAAUACACCUUCACUCUCUUACCUCUGGAAUAUAUCAAAUCUCCAGUGCUAUGUCACAGUGUAGUUUACAGGUAUCUUGAUUGCCUUUACCUUACAUUAGUCCAUUACACUGAUGACAUUAUGAUGAUUGAACCUAGUGAGCAGGAACAGAAACUAUUCUAGAUUUAUUGGUAAGAGAUGUAUGUGGCUGAAGGUGGGGGCUAAUUGAGCUAAAAUUUAAGGGCUUUCUACCUCAGUUUAAUUUGUAGGUCUCCAGCAAUGUGAGACAUGUCUUUUUAAGGUGAAGUAUAAGUUGUUGCAUUUAACCCCUCCUACAGCCAAGGAAGCAACACGAUGCCUAGUAGACCUCUUUGGAAUUUGGGUGCAAAAUAUUUUUCAUUUGGGAGUGUUAAUAUGACCCUUUUAUCUAGUGACCUGAAAGCUUCUAGUUUUGAGUGGGGCCAACAACAAGAGAAGGCUCUGCAACAGUUACAGAAUGCUGUGUAACUGCUUAGCCAACUGGGCCAUGAAGUCCAGCAGACCAAAUGGUUCUUGAGGUUUCAUGGGCAAAUAGAGAUGCUAUUUGGGCCUUUGGCAGUCUCUAUAGAUGGAUGGCAGCACAACUAUUUAGGAUUUUGAUCUAGUCCUGCUAUCAUGCAGAGCUAACUACUGUUUUGUGAGAAACAGCUGUAGGCUUGCUACUGGGUUUAUAAGACAGAAUGCUUGAUAAUGAGCCACCAAGUUACCAUGUGAUCUGUGCUGUCCAUCAUGAUGAAGCGUUAUCUGACCCACCAAGUUAUAAAGUUGGUCUUACACAGCAAAUCUCCACCAUCAAACUGAAGUGGUAUAUGCAUGGCUGGGUCUAGUCCUUCCAUGAAGGCACAAGUACAUUACAUGACAUAGUGGCCCAAGUGCCCAUGGUCCCUACUCAUGCUACUCUGCCUUGUCUCUCUCAGCCAACACAUAUCCCAUGUAUGACAGGAGAAUAAAAAUCAUAGGCCUGGUUUACAGAUGGUUCUGCAUGAUGUACAGGCACCACCUGAAUAUGGACAGCUAUAGCACUUCAGUCCCAUUCUGGGAUAUCCCUAAAGGACAGUGGUGAAUAGAAAUGCUCCCACUGGGCAGAACUUUGGACAACGUACCUGGUUGUUGAUUUAAUUGACCAUAUGUUUGAUUAUUUAUUGAUUCUUGAGCUGUGGCCAAUUGUUUCAUUUGAUAGAGACUUGAAAGAAACGACUGG